GACGAACGCUGGCGGCGUGCUUAACACAUGCAAGUCGAACGGAAAGGCCCUGCUUUGGUGGGGUGCUCGAGUGGCGAACGGGUGAGUAACACGUGAGUCACCUGCCUUUGACUUUGGGAUAACUUCAGGAAACUGGGGCUAAUACCGGAUACGAGCUCCUGCUGCAUGGUGGGGGUGGGAUAGUUUCGGCGGUUGGGGAUGGACCCGGGGCUUAUCAGCUUGUUGGUGGGGUAGUGCCUUACCAGGGCUUUGACGGGUAGCCGGCCUGAGAGGGUGCCCGGCAACAUGGGGAAGGAGAUACGGCCCAGAUCCCUAGGGGGGGCAGCGGGGGGGAAUAUGGCACAAGGGGGGAAAGCCGGAGGAAGCAACGCCGCGGGCGGGAGGACGGCCUUCGGGUGGUAAACCGCUUUCGCCGGUGACGAGGCGUGAGUGACGGUAAUGGGGAAGGAAGCACCGGCUAACUACGU
rnacentral:rRNA from 1 species